UACGAAGGGGGCUAGCGUUGCUCGGAAUCACUGGGCGUAAAGCGCACGUAGGCGGCUUUUUAAGUCAGGGGUGAAAUCCCGGGGCUCAACCCCGGAACUGCCUUUGAUACUGGGUAUCUCGAGUCCGGAAGAGGUGAGUGGAAUUCCGAGUGUAGAGGUGAAAUUCGUAGAUAUUCGGAGGAACACCAGUGGCGAAGGCGGCUCACUGGUCCGGUACUGACGCUGAGGUGCGAAAGCGUGGGGAGCAAACAGG
rnacentral:rRNA from 1 species